rnacentral:lncRNA from 1 species
GAGAUUAAAAAGCUACACUCUGUUGUGCUUAGAUCAAACGCCUGUUAUUCGGCAGAGGUAAUUAACCUUUAAAGUGCUGGCGGUUUUUUUUUUUAAUUAUUAUUAUUUCCUUUUUGGAAUCUUCAGCUUUUAAAGGAAUCUUCCAAAGCUUUCUUUGAUGUUACACAUUUCCAACACCCGUAACAGCAUCUCCGAGGGUCGGUCAAUGGAGGCUUGAGCUCUUGAAAGCUUUCCUUUUGUUCUCUCCCCCUCCCCUUCUACGUUUCCCUCUCUUGACUUUCUUUUAAACAGAGUUGGGAAUGAAACAGCAGACAGAUAACCCACCAGAGCGAGACAGACACCAGAUGCCAGGUCUUCCAACAAGAUGUCAGUAUAUUAAAGAUAAUGCAGCGAUUCUUGCACUAUCUUUAAUUUGGACUUCGGGGAUGCCAUGCCAUCAGCAACCUGGCAUGACAGAGAGGAUGUCUGCUGGUCUUGCCAGGAUGUUGGCAAGAUGCCACCGCUGUCACCUUCUCUGGUGACUUGUGGCCUUCUCAGUUGCCUCGACCUCUCUGCUUGCCAGUGCAUGAAUUUGGGACAUUCAGCUGCUUGGGAAAACAAUUCUGGAAGCUCUGAAAAUCAAGGUGACACAAAAGAAACCAAUGGCGUGGAAAACACCCUGACAUGGAUGCCUUAAGCCUAACUGGGAAUUUCUGAGAGCAAUGGGAUUGUCAUCAGCUGCCUCUCCUGAGAACUUUGAUUAGACUAACAAAAAGAUAACCUGGAGUGAAGCAAGCUGUAUAGAAAUACGUACAGUCAAUUCAGGAUAUUUUUCUUUUCUGGGAAUUUAAUAAAUUAGUUAUUACCUCAUUACUUUUCUAUACU